rnacentral:rRNA from 1 species
GACGAACGCUGGCGGCGUGCUUAACACAUGCAAGUCGAACGGAAAGGCCCUGCUUUUGUGGGGUGCUCGAGUGGCGAACGGGUGAGUAACACGUGAGUAACCUGCCCUUGACUUUGGGAUAACUUCAGGAAACUGGGGCUAAUACCGGAUAGGAGCUCCUGCUGCAUGGUGGGGGUUGGAAAGUUUCGGCGGUUGGGGAUGGACUCGCGGCUUAUCAGCUUGUUGGUGGGGUAGUGGCUUACCAAGGCUUUGACGGGUAGCCGGCCUGAGAGGGUGACCGGCCAAAUUGGGACUGGGAUACGGCCCAGACUCCUACGGGAGGCAGCGGUGGGGAAUAUUGCACAAUGGGCGGAAGCCUGAUGCAGCAACGCCGCGUGCGGGAUGACGGCCUUCGGGUUGUAAACCGCUUUCGCCUGUGACGAAGCGUGAGUGACGGUAAUGGGUAAAGAAGCACCGGCUAACUACGUG